rnacentral:rRNA from 1 species
GAUGAACGCUAGCUACAGGCUUAACACAUGCAAGUCGAGGGGUAACGAGAGGGAAGCUUGCUUUCCUUGUCGACGACCGGCGCACGGGUGAGUAACGCGUAUCCAACCUGCCCCCAACUAGGGAAUAACCUUGCGAAAGUAAGACUAAUACCCUAUAAUUUCCUCAGAUGUCAUCUGACGAGGAAUAAAGAUUUAUCGGUUGUGGAUGGGGAUGCGUCUGAUUAGCUUGUUGGCGGGGUAACGGCCCACCAAGGCAACGAUCAGUAGGGGUUCUGAGGGGAAGGUCCCCCACAUUGGAACUGAGACACGGUCCAAACUCCUACGGGAGGCAGCAGUGAGGAAUAUUGGUCAAUGGGCGGAAGCCUGAGCCAGCCAAGUAGCGUGCAGGAUGACGGCCUUAUGGGUUGUAAACUGCUUUUAUACAGGAAUAAAGUUAGCCACGUGUGGUUAUUUGUAGGUACUGUAUGAAUAAGGACCGGCUAAUUCCGUGCCAGCCGCCGCGGUAA